CACAAGGACCCCAAAUUAACUGUAACACGGCGUAAAGAGUGGUACCAUGCUAUCCUAACAACUAAGAUCGAAAUACAACUAAGCCGUCAUAAGCCCAAGAUGUACCUAAGGACACCCUCAAGAUGAUCUUAGCACCCUCGACUGAUUAAAUCCCACGAAAGCUAGAACACAAACUGGGAUUAGAUACCCCACUAUGCCUAGCCCUAAAUCUUGAUACUUUCUACCACCAAAGUGUCCGCCUGAGAACUACGAGCACAAACGCUUAAAACUCUAAGGACUUGGCGGUGCCCCAAACCCACCUAGAGGAGCCUGUUCUAUAAUCGAUAACCCACGAUGCACCCAACCACUCCUUGCCAAAACAGCCUAUAUACCGCCGUCGCCAGCCCACCUCCCCUGAGAGCCUAACAGUGAGCCUAAUAGCCCUCCGCUAGCAAGACAGGUCAAGGUAUAGCCUAUGGAGUGGAAGAAAUGGGCUACAUUUUCUAAGAUAGAUACUUUCACGAAAGGGGACAUGAAACUCGUCCCUAGAAGGCGGAUUUAGCAGUAAAGCGGGAUAAUAAAGCCCUCUUUAAACCGGCCCUGAGGCACGUACAUACCGCCCGUCACCCUCCUCACAAGCUACAUGCAUAUAUAAACUAAUGCUCGCCCACAGCUGAAGACGAGGUAAGUCGUAACAA
rnacentral:rRNA from 1 species